ensembl:lncRNA
UCAGUUUUUCCUCUGUCCUGGUAAUCCUCUGCCCUGGCUGCACAUUGGAACCACCUGUCUUGAUUAAUUGGCAGUACAAGGAAGGGGGAUUCAUUGGCCACUCUGUUCUCAUUGGAAUUACUUAAAUCAAAUUUAAAGCCUAGAAAAGAGAACACCGAUGUCUGUGUUCCACUCUAAACCAAUUAAAUUAGAAUCGCUGGAGUUGAAGCUCAGGUGAUCCUGGUUUCAAAAUUCUCUAGGUGAUUCUGGUAAGUAAUCAGCACUAAGAACUGCUGCUCUAUCCUGUGGAUCCUUUAUAUUGAAGUUAGACUCAGGCUAUACAUUUUUUGUCUGGAAUACUUUGCAUAUUGCAAUCACCUUGGAAGCUUUAAAAAAUACUGAUACAUGGGGGUCCACCCCAGAUAUCCUGAUAUAGUUGGUCUGGCGGCAUGGCCUAGGCUUUGGGAGUUUUGAAAUCUGCUCAGGUGAUUUUAAUGCAGCCAGGAAGACCCACUGCUUUAGAUUAUUUUCUUGUUUAAUUUGCAUCCUAUCAGGAGGCACACAAUGUCACACUAUUCCAUUAUUUGUGAUGCCAGUUUCAAUCACUGGCUUAAGGUGGUCACAUCAGACCUCUGCAUCACCUCUUCAUCGCAAAUGUACUAGUGCUCCUGUUCCCAGAGGUAAGUGGUCUCUGAGAUGAUACCUUGGUGCUGCUAACAAGUUUUAAUCCAAUGGUUUUAGCUUCCACUGGUGAUUGUUACCUCUAUCAAGUAUUACGUGGAGGGUGAGUAUAAAUGGUGAUCUAAUCUUGUCUUUCCUUCUGUAACAGAGUAUGGCUGAGUGCAGCCCUAAGUCUGCAGCCCUUGCUGCGGUGCCACUACGCCGCAUCCAACUCUGGUUACCAUUGGACCUGUGGGGGCCCUGCUCAGUGAUUGGUCGACGCUGCAAUGGGCCCCACCCACAAGCAACCAACUGUCAAAGAGAGACCUUUUAGUGGUCCUGCUCAAUCAUUGGUCAGCACAGCAGUGAGCCCCGCCCACAAGCAACCAGCUGUCAAGGAGGGACUGUUAGUUGAGAGGAUUCAGCCAACCGAAUCAGGCAGUGGAGUGGUGGUCGUCAGGCAGAGAGUGAGUAAUCACUGAGUGAACUGAAAUUGGACAACAUCAUAAUUGCUGUUUCUGUCACUGAGGAGAACAAAUUCUGAGGUGGACGUCAUCUCUCACGGAGCGACAAGAAAAUAUGGCUGGUGUGAUGGACAAACUCAGCUGCAUUUCUCUUCUGAUCUCUUUCCUGGCCUGUUUAUAUAAAUGUAUUGUCACGGAUCAUGUGACCCUGUGCUAGAGAGAGAGGCUUAUCUAGAGCCUGGCUCUGGAGACUUUCUAGGUGACUCGUGUGCUGGGGAUUUGUUUGGCACGGGCUGUUUGAUGCCCUGGGUCAGCUGGUUGUGCCUUAGGCAGGAUCGUAGGGGACAUCAGAUCUGGCAGGACCUUGAGAAGGGUCUAGGGAAAAUGUCCAGAGGUGGGGGGAAGCUGCUGAGAGCCUGGAAGCACUCUCUGAAACUCACUGAAGGGGAAUGUGGGUCAUGCGGUGUUGUAAAGUUUGGGGAGAGCUCAGUCAAAUGUCAUUUGUCCAAAAACUUCAGAGUUGAGUUUUUCUGGAUAUUUUCUUUGUGAUGGCUAAGGGUUUAUCUUUUAAAUUACCAAACAUUGUGUUUAACUAUGUGAAGUCAGAAUUUCUCGAAAAGCUUUGGCAUACCCAGCAUCCCCUGGAGACUCCUUCCUUACUCUUGGUUCCAACUGGAUAGCCUUGAAGGGCUCCAUGGAACACACAGAAAUCAGUAGAAGAGAUUGUUUCUAAGCAUCAAAGGUUCUAAGUUAUGACUGUAAUCCCAAAUUAUAAAUACCUCUGGGAGGGUUACCCUGUAAGCACUUACCAGACCUUUCUAUUAUGAAAACAGGGGGAAAAAAGGGCUCCUUUCCAGAACACCCAGGGGGAAUCCUUGGAGCAGGAGCCUUGGGGGUGACAGUGAGGAUCCAAAGGAAAGUGAAGAAAUUCCUUUGGUUACUUCAAGAUGUAGGGUCCUUCCAAACCCUUUCCUUGCCAGAAGGGGUUGAUGAAAUUCACCAGAUAUACCACACCUUUCUUAUCUCUGCUUGGAAAAGGACCUGUUUUUUUUUUUCCUUCAUAACUUUCUUUACAUGGACAUGUUCCAUCAAUUCACCCAUUUAAAGUAUAUGACUCAGUAGCUUUUAUUGUAUUCAGAGUUGAACAAUCAUUACAAUUUUAGAAUAUUUUUGGUAGCCUCAAAAGAAAUCGUGUUCCCCUGAGCUACCACCCCCGAAUCCCACCAUCCCUCACCCUUCCCCUCUAUCAGCAACAACUUACCUACUUUCUGUCUCUGUAGAUUUACCUAUUCCGGACACUUUGUAUAAAUGGAAUCAAUACAAUAUGUGAUCCUUUGUGACUGUAUUCUUUCAGUUAAUGUUUUGCAUAAUAUUUUCAAGUUUCAUCCACAAUGUAGCAUGUAAGACCUUCAGUCCUUUUAAUGGCCAACUAAUACACCAAUGUAUAGAGAUACCACACUUUAUUAAUUCAUUUACCAGUGAACAUUUGGGUUAUUUCUACUUCUUGGCUAUUAUGAAUAAUACUACUAUAAGCAUCCAUGUAUACAUUUUCAUGUAGAUAUCCAUAUUUUCAUUUCUCUUGGAUAUGUAGUCUACCUAGCAGUGGAAUUGCUGGAUCAUAUGCUAACUCUAUGUUUAACUGUUGAUUCAGGGCUACUUAUAUAGUCCUACUUGUUGGAGAUAUUCCUUCGUGCUUCAAUACUCUGAUUCCAUUUUACUUUUAUUUUUUUUUAAAUUUUUAUUACUUUUAAUAAAUGUAGCAAUUACUGAAAUUUAUUAACAUAUUGACUGUAUUCAAACAUGUGCUACUGUUAUUAAUACUGCAUAUUCUUAAGUUAAAUAUAGCUCUUGUAUUAAUAUUCCAGACAAUAGUAAAGUGCUGUUUCCUUACUUGCUAACUUAAUAAUGUGAAAACAAAUCCUCUACUCUUCUAUUUUAUAGAUGGGGAAAAACAUCUUUUUCUUACAUUCUGGGAAUCAUGGAUUAAGUCAAUGAGAGAAUUAACACGUUGUAGUCUCAGAUUUCAGACUUUUCUCUAGAAUUUUACUGCGUGUUAGGCACCAUCCUGCAAUAAUGUCUGAACAUAAUUAACUUAAUACUACCUUCUAACAGUUAGCAUUGCCAAGAUGUUGAUUUUUAUUGGUUUGGCUUAUAUUAGUUUAGGUAAUAAUUUGCUUUCUUGUUUUUAUAUUGAAUGACCACUAUUGAGUUCAAAGUUCCCUUCCUAAUUUGAGAUCCAUUUUACUUUUAGAAACUUUGAUUAAAAAGAUGUGUAUGUGCAGAGAACUACAUUUAGUAAUAAGCCAUAAUGGAAAAGAAUAUGAAAAUGAAUAUGUAUGUAUUUGUAUAACUGAAAUGCUUUGCUAUGCAACAGAAACUAACACAAUAUUGUAAAUCAACUAUCUGUUGUUCAGUUACUAAGUUGUGUCCGACUCUUUGCAACCCGAUGGACUGUAGUACACCAGUCUUCUCUGUCCUUCACUGUCUCCCGGAGUUGGCUCAAAUUCAUGUCCAUUGAGUUGGUGGUGCUAUCCAACCAUCUCAGUUCAGUUCAGUCC